GGAAAAAUGCUUUUUACCAAAGAAGCAUUUGACUCCAGGAAAAUGAAGAAUCCUACGAUUCAAUAGGAAGGCAAACAAUCCAAUGGGAAAAGGAGCAACGGAUGUGGGUUUAACGAUUUGCAGCAGAAGAAAUACGGAUGGCCAUUAUAAAAGGGGGAAAAUUUCUCCCUCAUUGGUAAUCAGAGAAACAUAGAUGAACGUGAUGACAACCUAGCAUUUCAUAUCUGUUGAAUUGGCAAAAAAUGUAAAAGUUAAAACCAAACUUUUUCAGGGACGUGGGAAGGUCAGAAGCCUCCGCCAGCACUGGUGGGAAUGUAAAAGGCACCACCACAGGGGGAGCUAUUGUUAUCAUCCAAACAGCUGGAAUGGAAGCCGGAAACUCAAUCCGCAGGUGUGGACUAUUUAAAGGCAUUUCUGAGCUUCUUUCAGCUCACGAUGGAUGCUACACUGCUUCCCGGCACAACUCAGGCCCUCUGAUCCUCCUGCACACGUCAGGUGCUCCUUGAACUUGAUGCUGUGCUAUCGCUCCAGCUCCAAAUCAGAGGAUCUGGAGUUUGAAUGAGCGGAGUGUUCUGGCUCUACGGACCUUUUCUACAAUGUCCCGGGUGGUCUCAGAAGCCUGGAGUUCUGUCUGCAUGUUUUUCUCAGGCUGAGGGGAAGUAGCGGUGAAAACUCAGGAAUCAGACUGCCUGCACUCAAAUCCCAACUCCGCCAUUUGCUGGCUGUGUGACUUUGGGCAAGUGAUUUAACCUCUCUGUGCCACAGUUUAUGCAUCUAUAAAACGGGGAUGAUAACAACACCUCGGACAGGGCUGUUGGUAGGAUUAACUGAGUUCAAACCUGUAGAACUGCCUAGCAGACAGUCUGCACUGUGUUAUUUACUCUGAUGAACCUGCCAGGCUGAAGUUGGCUCACCUUCCUUCAC